rnacentral:rRNA from 1 species
GAUGAACGCUGGCGGCGUGCCUAAUACAUGCAAGUCGAGCGAACAGAUAAGGAGCUUGCUCCUUUGACGUUAGCGGCGGACGGGUGAGUAACACGUGGGUAACCUACCUAUAAGACUGGGAUAACUUCGGGAAACCGGAGCUAAUACCGGAUAACAUUUGGAACCGCAUGGUUCUAAAGUGAAGGAUGGUUUUGCUAUCACUUAUAGAUGGACCCGCGCCGUAUUAGCUAGUUGGUAAGGUAACGGCUUACCAAGGCAACGAUACGUAGCCGACCUGAGAGGGUGAUCGGCCACACUGGAACUGAGACACGGUCCAGACUCCUACGGGAGGCAGCAGUAGGGAAUCUUCCGCAAUGGGCGAAAGCCUGACGGAGCAACGCCGCGUGAGUGAUGAAGGGUUUCGGCUCGUAAAACUCUGUUAUUAGGGAAGAACAAACGUGUAAGUAACUGUGCACGUCUUGACGGUACCUAAUCAGAAAGCCACGGCUAACUACGUG